rnacentral:rRNA from 1 species
CCUACGGGCGGCAGCAGUGGGGAAUAUUGGACAAUGGGGGGAACCCUGAUCCAGCCAUGCCGCGUGUGUGAAGAAGGCCCUCGGGUUGUAAAGCACUUUCAGUGAGGAAGAACGCCUGGUGGUUAAUACCCAUCAGGAAAGACAUCACUCACAGAAGAAGCACCGGCUAACUCCGUGCCAGCAGCCGCGGUAAUACGGAGGGUGCGAGCGUUAAUCGGAAUUACUGGGCGUAAAGCGCGCGUAGGUGGCUUGAUAAGCCGGUUGUGAAAGCCCCGGGCUCAACCUGGGAACGGCAUCCGGAACUGUCAAGCUAGAGUGCAGGAGAGGAAGGUAGAAUUCCCGGUGUGGCGGUGAAAUGCGUAGAGAUCGGGAGGAAUACCAGUGGCGAAGGCGGCCUUCUGGACUGACACUGACACUGAGGUGCGAAAGCGUGGGUAGCAAACAGGAUUAGAUACCCGAGUAGUC